rnacentral:rRNA from 1 species
UAGGGAAUCUUCGGCAAUGGGGGGAACCCUGACCGAGCAACGCCGCGUGAGUGAAGAAGGUUUUCGGAUCGUAAAGCUCUGUUGUUAAGGAAGAACGAGUGUGAGAAUGGAAAGUUCAUGCUGUGACGGUACUUAACCAGAAAGGGACGGCUAACUACGUGCCAGCAGCCGCGGUAAUACGUAGGUCCCGAGCGUUGUCCGGAUUUAUUGGGCGUAAAGCGAGCGCAGGCGGUUAGAAAAGUCUGAAGUGAAAGGCAGUGGCUCAACCAUUGUAGGCUUUGGAAACUGUUUAACUUGAGUGCAGAAGGGGAGAGUGGAAUUCCAUGUGUAGCGGUGAAAUGCGUAGAUAUAUGGAGGAACACCGGUGGCGAAAGCGGCUCUCUGGUCUGUACUGACGCUGAGGCUCGAAAGCGUGGGGAGCGAACAGG